AGUGAACGCUGGCGGUAGGCCUAACACAUGCAAGUCGAACGGCAGCACAGUAAGAGCUUGCUCUUACGGGUGGCGAGUGGCGGACGGGUGAGGAAUACAUCGGAAUCUACUUUUUCGUGGGGGAUAACGUAGGGAAACUUACGCUAAUACCGCAUACGACCUACGGGUGAAAGCAGGGGAUCUUCGGACCUUGCGCGAUUGAAUGAGCCGAUGUCGGAUUAGCUAGUUGGCGGGGUAAAGGCCCACCAAGGCGACGAUCCGUAGCUGGUCUGAGAGGAUGAACCGCCACACUGGAACUGAGACACGGUCCAGACUCCUACGGGAGGCAGCAGUGGGGAAUAUUGGACAAUGGGCGCGAGCCUGAUCCAGCCAUACCGCGUGGGUGAAGAAGGCCUUCGGGUUGUAAAGCCAUUUUGUUGGGAAAGAAAAGCAGCAGGUUAAUACCCCGCUGUUCUGACGGUACCCAAAGAAUAAGCACCGGCUAACUUCGUG
rnacentral:rRNA from 1 species